rnacentral:rRNA from 1 species
GUGCCAGCCGCCGCGGUAAGACGAACCGUGCGAACGUUGUUCGGAAUCACUGGGCUUAAAGGGCGCGUAGGCGGUUUGCCAAGUCAGGGGUGAAAUCCUGCAGCUCAACUGUAGAAGUGCCUUUGAUACUGGCGAACUCGAGGGAGGUAGGGGUCGCUGGAACUUCUGGUGGAGCGGUGAAAUGCGUUGAUAUCAGAAGGAACGCCGGUGGCGAAAGCGAGCGACUGGAUCUCUUCUGACGCUGAGGCGCGAAAGCCAGGGGAGCAAACGGGAUUAGAAACCCCCGUAGUCC